UACGUAGGGGGCUAGCGUUGUCCGGAAUCAUUGGGCGUAAAGCGCGUGUAGGCGGCCCGGUAAGUCCGCUGUGAAAGUCGGGGGCUCAACCCUCGAAUGCGGGUGGAUACUGCCGGGCUAGAGUCCGGAAGAGGCGAGUGGAAUUCCUGGUGUAGCGGUGGAAUGCGCAGAUAUCAGGAAGAACACCCGUGGCGAAAGCGGCUCUCUGGAACGGUACUGACGCUGAGACGCGAAAGCGUGGGGAGCGAACAGG
rnacentral:rRNA from 1 species